UCCGUAGGUGAACCUGCGGAAGGAUCAUUAGUGAACGCCCUCACGGGCUUAUAACUAUUCCAAACCUCUGUGAACCGUGCCCUUCGGGGCUAUUUUACAAACAUGGUGUAAUGAACGUCAUAUAUCAUAACAAAACAAAACUUUCAACAACGGAUCUCUUGGCUCUCGCAUCGAUGAAGAACGCAGCGAAAUGCGAUAAGUAAUGUGAAUUGCAGAAUUCAGUGAAUCAUCGAAUCUUUGAACGCACCUUGCGCCCUCUGGUAUUCCGGUGGGCAUGCCUGUUUGAGUGUCAUGUAGACUCAAUCCCUCGGGUUUCCGAGGAGAUUGGACUUGGGUGUUGCCGCUCUGCCGGCUCGCCUUAAAAGACUUAGCGGGAUAGCACCGUAGUCGGCGUAAUAAGUUUCGUCGGUGGAGGUUGUGAUGACUGCUUACAAUCGCCCUCGGGCAAUUUUUGACUCUGACCUCAAAUCAGGUAGGACUACCCGCUGAACUUAAGCAUAUCAAUAAGCGGAGGA
rnacentral:rRNA from 1 species